rnacentral:lncRNA from 1 species
CCUGGCUAGUCCUUGUAGACCUUCUCUGAAUGUUUUGGUGAAUAAAUCUGUUCUUCAGCAACCCUACCUGCUUCUCCAAACUGCCUAAAGAGAUCCAGUACUGAUGACGCUGUUCUUCCAUCUUUACUCCCUGGAAACUAACCACGUUGUCUUCUUUCCUUCACCACCACCCAGGAGCUCAGAGAUCUAAGCUGCUUUCCAUCUUUUCUCCCAGCCCCAGGACACUGACUCUGUACAGGAUGGGGCCGUCCUCUUGCCUCCUUCUCAUCCUAAUCCCCCUUCUCCAGCUGAUCAACCCGGGGAGUACUCAGUGUUCCUUAGACUCCGUUAUGGAUAAGAAGAUCAAGGAUGUUCUCAACAGUCUAGGUAACUGACUGGGGUAGGGGAAGCGGGGGGUUGACCCUUGCUCAUUUCUCCUGUUCUUAAACUCUAGCUUUGUCUCUAUCCCAUCCCAAGAUCCCAACCAAGCCCAACCCCUGAUGAGGGCUUUCUACACUACCCUACCCGUGUUUGAAGUCUUGGCUAAAAGCUGAGGUUUUCCUGAUGAGGAGGAAGAGGUGGAGGAGAAUGGUAGCUGUAAUUUAUGAACACUCAUUAUGAACCAGGUAUAAUCCAAGUUUUACGUAGAUUAUUUCAUUUAAUUCCCACAACCAUUUUAUGAGGUAAGGACAACUAUUACUUCUGCUUUAAAAAUGAGGAAACUAACCUUAAAAGCUGAUGAGUAGGCUGAUUCUGGACACAGUGUCACCUCCAAGGUAGAAGACAAUUUGGAAGGGGAUAAGGGGAUUAUGGGGAGGAUAGCUCAUGGGAUGUACCCUUUCUUCUUUCCUACUCAGAGUACAGUCCCUCUCCUAUAAGCAAGAAGCUCUCGUGUGCUAGUGUCAAAAGCCAAGGCAGACCGUCCUCCUGCCCUGCUGAAUGCAAUCCCUCAGGCUGCCCAAAACAUCUCUCCUGAACCAACAUCACUAAUGAAAGCAACCUGUCCUCCUGCCCCUCAGGAUGUUACCUCCAUGUCACGUGUUCCAACUUCUGCUUGAAGGGGAGGCCUUAGGGAGAACCAUAAGAACUGAAAUCAGCUUUCCACCCUCACCACCAUCAUCUCAUUCUUCAACAAAUAUAGGGCCACACUGUUCCAGGAUCUGUUUGUUCUCAGCACUAGAGGUACAGAAAAGUAAAACUGUACACAUGCUCUGUGCAUGGUCACCAUCUAUAGCAUUCCCUAAACAUCAAGGCACAUAUGCUUUGUCUUGGCUUGGGAGCAACCUGGAUGAUCUAGUCAUCACUUCUCUGAUCACCAGUCACUACUUUAAAAUAUAGGUUCCAUGAUUAUUUAGGUGUGGCAAGGCCAACAGAUCAGGAAAUGACUGCCAUGGAAAAGAGGAUUAUACUCACAGAUUCCAAGAGAAGGCGGCAUGCCAGAAUCUGGAACCGGAUCCUCUAAUGAUGUCAUAAGACCUGAGCUGUAUUCACCUAGGAAUCAUGUUGUAAAAUACUCAAGAAAGCACAGGCUGGAAUGCAGUGGAAUGAUUAUAGAUCAAUGCAGCCUCAAACUCCUGAGCUCAAGCAAUCCUCCUGCCUCAGCUUCCCAAGUAGCUGGGACUACAGAUGCGUGCUCCCACACUUGUGUGAUGGUUAAUAUUGAGUGCCAACUUGGUUGGACUGAAGGAUGCAAAGUAUUGUUCCUGGGUGUGUCUGUGAGGGUGUUGCCGAAGGAGAUUAACAUUUGAGACAGUGGGCUGGGAAAAGCAGAACCACCCUCAAUCUGGGUGGGCACCAUCUAAUCAGCUGCCUGCACAGCCAGAAUAAAAGCAGGCAGAAGAACGUGGAAAAACUAGACUGGCUGAGUCUUCUGGCCUCCAUCUUUCUCCCAUGCCGGACACUUCCUGCCCUCGAACAUCGGACCUCAAGUUCUUCAGCUUUGGGACUCUUGGACCUUCAACCACAGACUGAAGGCUGCACUGACGGCUUCCCUACUUUUCAGGUUUUGGGACUCGGACUAGCUUCCUUGCUCCUCAGCUUGCAGAUGGUCUGCUGUGGGACUUUGCCUUGUAAUCAUGUGAGUCAAUACUCCUUUAUAGACUCCCCUUUAUAUAUACAUCUAUCCUGUUAAUUUUGUCCCUCUAGAGGACGCUCACUAAUACACUUGGCUAUUUUUUAUUUUUAUAGAGAAGAAGUAUCACUAGGUUGCCCAGGCUGGUCUCAAACUCCUGACCCCAAGCAAUCCUCCCAAAAACCCAAAAGGUUUUUACUUUUUUUUUUUUUUUUUUUGAGACGGAGUCUCGCUCUGUCGCCCAGGCUGGAGUGCAGUGGCGCCAUCUUGGCUCACUGCAAGCUCCGCCUUCCGGGUUCACGCCAUUCUCCUGCCUCAGCCUCCCGAGCAGCUGGGACUACAGGCGUCCGCCAACACGCCCGGCUAAUUUUUUGUAUUUUUAAGUAGAGACGGGGUUUCACCGUGUUAGCCAGAAUGGUCUCGAUCUCCUGACCUUGUGAUCCGCCCGCCUCAGCCUCCCAAAGUGCUGGGAUUACAGGCGGGAGCCACCGUGCCUGGCCUAGAACAAAGGAAAUUUUUAAGAAAUCUAUACACUGUUUAGCAAUCUUUGCUAAUUUGUUAUUCAUGGAUAAAGGUUGGGGAGGUUGUGCAUUCCAGAAAGGAAAGAGAAAAAAAAUUAAAGUAAGGCCAAAAUGUGUGUAUGUGUAUGUGUAUGUGUGUGUGCAUUUAGUUCUCCUUACUUUGUAUUCAAAUGUUGAGUACACCCCACAUAAGCUUUGGAUGCUGCCCUUUAGAUACCUAAAAUAGCAUAGGCUGUCCUCUCUUUACACUAGAAUAGUGGUUCUCAACCAGAAAACUUGGAAAUAUCUGGAAACAUUUUUGGUUGUCACACCUGGCAGAGGCAAAGUGAUAUUGGCAUCUAGUUGGGAAUAGACCACAAAUGUCAAGAAACUUCAUGCAAUGCACAGGUAAAACCCCCACUGCCAACAAAGAAUUGCCUUGCAUGAACUGUCAAUAGGGCCAAGGGUUAAGAAAUCCUUCCCUAGAAUGUGUGCUUCUAUCAUCAGACAUCUCACUCAAAAGGAAUACUAUCCUUCUAGAGACCUCCAUUCUGAAGCUAACAUAUAAGUGUCUACACUCCCUAAUUCUCACAAAGGUUGCUUGUAACCUAAAUCAAGGCACAAUGGUAAUAGGGAAUCCCAACAUUUUCCCAAUAGCUGAUGUUAACACUUCUGCAUUACAUACUAACAAUCAGAAGCAUAUUUCUUACACAUGCUUAAAUUGGCCAGUGAAUAAGUAUCCGAAAGCUAUUUUGAGGGGCAGAUUUCCAAUUCUGCAGAAACCAUAAAACUGGCCCCAACAGGAAGAGAUUUGAGCCACCAGUGAAUUGUGUUUUAUAGGGCUGUAUGCCAACUGCUUUUAUUCACUUGUGU